rnacentral:rRNA from 1 species
GAUGAACGCUAGCUACAGGCUUAACACAUGCAAGUCGAGGGGAAACGACAUCGAAAGCUUGCUUUUGAUGGGCGUCGACCGGCGCACGGGUGAGUAAAGCGUAUCCAACCUGCCCAUCACUUGGGAAUAACCUUGCGAAAGUAAGACUAAUACCCAAUGAUAUCCCACGAAGGCAUCGGAAUGGGAUUAAAGAUUUAUCGGUGAUGGAUGGGGAUGCGUCUGAUUAGCUUGUUGGCGGGGUAACGGCCCACCAAGGCAACGAUCAGUAGGGGUUCUGAGAGGAAGGUCCCCCACAUUGGAACUGAGACACGGUCCAAACUCCUACGGGAGGCAGCAGUGAGGAAUAUUGGUCAAUGGGCGAGAGCCUGAACCAGCCAAGUAGCGUGCAGGAAGACGGCCCUAUGGGUUGUAAACUGCUUUUAUAAGGGAAUAAAGUGGGUCACGUGUGACUUUUUGCAUGUACCUUAUGAAUAAGGACCGGCUAAUUCCGUG